AGUCAGUACUGCACACAGGACUACUGCGGGGACCGUCCACUUCACAUUACAGGAUUUUAACUAACUAAAGAAAGAGUGAAAACAACAUUAAGUCAUAAGAGCGAAGGUGCUUAUGGUGUUAUGUUCGUAGUGCACAUCUGUACCAAUGUAUUUUGGUGAGUCGUCUGGCGCUUCCGCUUUUUUCCGUCCAGCAGUUUGACGCCAAAAUUCAGCAGGAGUCAAUAGGAAUUUUUGAUACACCGUAAACUAUUUCACUGGACACUGAAAGGGAAAAAAAGGGAUAUCAAUUAUUUAUUGUUCGUGUGAGUGAGUCCUACUCAUCCUAAGGCUGAUGUCCUCCAAGAGCAGCGUCUGAAACAUGGACGACCCUUUAAAGGUUGACUGAUUCCAGCUGACACCUUCAUAACUAUGCUGCGAGUCUCGCAAGGCCCGAUGGCCACACUAGCCACCAACAACCCGCCUAAUUCCCCAACCCAAUUCAGGGAAUGAUCAAACCAUCCUGUCUAGGACAUACACAUCAAGAGACCUCUUACAUACAGUCAAAUUACUUGAAAUUACAACUCAAAACUUCUGCAGGACGGCAGAUACCCCAAAUCCAAUGGCAUGGGCCAAGUUCUUCAGGAGACCAGGAGGCAAUCUUUCCAGGUCUUACCAGCCAGGAUCUAUGCUAUCCUUGGCCCCUACCAAGGGACUACUAAAUGAGCCGGGACAGAACAGCUGCUUCCUCAACAGUGCAGU